CACGGGUGAGUAACGCGUGGAUAAUCUGCCCAAUGGACUGGGAUAACAUCUCGAAAGGGGUGCUAGUACCGGAUAAGACCACCUUCGGAAAAGGUGCGGCAUUGGAUGAGUCCGCGUACCAUUAGCUAGUUGGUAGGGUAAAGGCCUACCAAGGCGACGAUGGUUAGCUGGUCUGAGAGGAUGAUCAGCCACACUGGAACUGAGACACGGUCCAGACUCCUACGGGAGGCAGCAGUGGGGAAUUUUGCGCAAUGGGGGAAACCCUGACGCAGCAACGCCGCGUGAGUGAUGAAGGCCUUCGGGUCGUAAAGCUCUGUCGGAGGGGAAGACUGACGGUACCCUCAAAGGAAGCACCGGCUAAC
rnacentral:rRNA from 1 species